AACCUCCGCAAUGUGAGAAAUCGCGACGGGGGGAUCCCAAGUGCCAUUCUUAACGGGAUGGCUUUUCUUAAGUGUAAAAAGCUUUUGGAAUAAGAGCUGGGCAAGACCGGUGCCAGCCGCCGCGGUAACACCGGCAGCUCUAGUGGUAGCUGUUUUUAUUGGGCCUAAAGCGUUCGUAGCCGGUUUGAUAAGUCACUGGUGAAAUCCUGUAGCUUAACUGCGGGAAUUGCUGGUGAUACUGUUGAACUUGAGGUCGGGAGAGGUUAGCGGUACUCCCAGGGUAGAGGUGAAAUUCUGUAAUCCUGGGAGGACCACCUGUGGCGAAGGCGGCUAACUGGAACGAACCUGACGGUGAGGGACGAAAGCUAGGGGCGCGAACCGGAUUAGAUACCCGGGUAGUCCUAGCCGUAAACGAUGCGGACUUGGUGUUUGGG
rnacentral:rRNA from 1 species